rfam:Aedes aegypti strain Liverpool supercont1.462 genomic scaffold, whole genome shotgun sequence.
UAAUCGGCCCUUUUCAGGGCCAUCAAAAACUUGCUUAUGAGUUGUUU